rnacentral:rRNA from 1 species
GGAUAAUCUACCCUUAGGACUGGGAUAACCCUGGGAAACUGGGGCUAAUACCGGAUAGGCAAUUUUUCCUGCAAUGGUUUUUUGUUUAAAUGUUUUUUCGCCUAAGGAUGAGUCUGCGGCCGAUUAGGUAGUUGGUUAGGUAAUGGCUUACCAAGCCGUUGAUCGGUACGGGUUGUGAGAGCAAGAGCCCGGAGAUGGAACCUGAGACAAGGUUCCAGGCCCUACGGGGUGCAGCAGGCGCGAAACCUCCGCAAUGUGAGAAAUCGCGACGGGGGGAUCCCAAGUGCCAUUCUUAACGGGAUGGCUUUUCAUUAGUGUAAAGAGCUUUUGGAAUAAGAGCUGGGCAAGACCGGUGCCAGCCGCCGCGGUAACACCGGCAGCUCUAGUGGUAACAAUUUUUAUUGGGCCUAAAGCGUCCGUAGCCGGUUUAAUAAGUCUCUGGUGAAAUCCUGUAGCUUAACUGUGGGAAUUGCUGGAGAUACUAUUAGACUUGAGACCGGGAGAGGUUAGAGGUACUCCCAGGGUAGAGGUGAAAUUCUGUAAUCCUGGGAGGACCGCCUGUUGCGAAGGCGUCUAACUGGAACGGUUCUGACGGUGAGGGACGAAAGUUAGGGGCGCGAACCGGAUUAGAUACCCGGGUAGUCCUAACUGUAAACGAUGCGGACUUGGUGUUGGGGUGGCUUUGAGCUGUUCCAGCGCCGAAGGGAAGCUGUUAAGUCCGCCGCCUGGGAAGUACGGUCGCAAGACUGAAACUUAA